rnacentral:rRNA from 1 species
UACGUAGGGUGCAAGCGUUGUCCGGAAUUAUUGGGCGUAAAGAGCUCGUAGGCGGUCUGUCGCGUCGGUCGUGAAAACUUGGGGCUUAACCCUGAGCUUGCGGUCGAUACGGGCAUGACUGGAGUUCGGUAGGGGAGACUGGAAUUCCUGGUGUAGCGGUGAAAUGCGCAGAUAUCAGGAGGAACACCGAUGGCGAAGGCAGUUCUCUGGGCCGUAACUGA